AGAGAUGCACGUGGGUGUAAAGCGUGCGCAGGUCGGUUUUGUUAAGACAGAGGUGAAAUCCCCGGGCUCAACCUGGGAACUGCCUUUUGUGACUGCAAGGCUGGAGUGCGGCAGAGGGGGAUGGAAUUCCGCGUGUAGCAGUGAAAUGCGUAGAUAUGCGGAGGAACACCGAUGGCGGAGGCAAUCCCCUGGGCCUGCACUGACGCUCAUGCACGAAAGCGUGGGGAGCAAACA
rnacentral:rRNA from 1 species